rnacentral:rRNA from 1 species
UACGUAGGGGGCUAGCGUUGUCCGGAAUCAUUGGGCGUAAAGAGCGUGUAGGCGGCCGGUAAGUCCGCUGUGAAAGUCGGGGGCUCAACCCUCGAAUGCCGGUGGAUACUGUCGGGCUAGAGUGCGGAAGAGGCGAGUGGAAUUCCUGGUGUAGCGGUGAAAUGCGCAGAUAUCAGGAGGAACACCGAUGCGAAGGCAGCUCGCUGGGACGUAACUGACGCUGAGACGACGAAGCGUGGGGAGCAAACAGG